rnacentral:rRNA from 1 species
GUGGGGAAUAUUGGACAAUGGGCGCAAGCCUGAUCCAGCCAUGCCGCGUGAGUGAUGAAGGCCUUAGGGUUGUAAAGCUCUUUCGUCAGGGAAGAUAAUGACGGUACCUGAAGAAGAAGCCCCGGCUAACUUCGUGCCAGCAGCCGCGGUAAUACGAAGGGGGCUAGCGUUGCUCGGAAUCACUGGGCGUAAAGCGCACGUAGGCGGCUUUCUAAGUCAGGGGUGAAAUCCUGGAGCUCAACUCCAGAACUGCCUUUGAUACUGGAGAGCUUGAGUUCGGGAGAGGUGAGUGGAACUGCGAGUGUAGAGGUGAAAUUCGUAGAUAUUCGCAAGAACACCAGUGGCGAAGGCGGCUCACUGGCCCGAUACUGACGCUGAGGUGCGAAAGCGUGGGGAGCAAACAGGAUUAGAAACCCCAGUAGUCC